ACGGGGGUGCUAGCGUUGUUCGGAAUCAUUGGGCGUAAAGAGCGUGUAGGCGGCUGGAUAAGUCAGAUGUGAAAGCCCUGGGCUUAACCCAGGAAGUGCAUUUGAAACUGUUCAGCUUGAGUAAGGGAGAGGAAAGUGGAAUUCCUGGUGGAGAGGUUACAGUCGUAGAUAUCAUGAGGAGCACCGGUGGCGUGGGCGACUGUCUGGCCCUAUUCUGACUCUGGGACGCGAGAGCGUGUAUAGCAAACAG
rnacentral:rRNA from 1 species